rnacentral:rRNA from 1 species
AGUUGAAUUNNGGGAUUGACACGUCGGUCGUGCCCUAAGGGGUAUGAACUGGCGUAGUCAAUUUCUCACCUNNNGGAGAACCNCNAUGCCCUUAAUUGGGUGUCGCGGGGAACCAGGACCUUUANNUUGAAAAAAUUAGAGUGUUUAAAGCAGGCAUUUUGCUUGAAUACAUUAGCAUGGAAUAAUAAAAUAGGACGGCAUGAUUCNNNUUUGUUGGUUUCUAGGAUCACCGUAAUGAUUAAUAGGGAUAGUUGGGGGCAUUAGUAUUCAAUUGUCAGAGGUGAAAUUCUUGGAUUUAUUGAAGACUAACUACUGCGAAAGCAUUUGCCAAGGAUGUUUUCAUUAAUCAAGAACGAAAGUUAGGGGAUCGAAGACGAUCAG